ensembl:snoRNA U3 Small nucleolar RNA U3
AAGAUGAUACUUUCAGGGAUAAUUUCUAUAGUUCGUUACUAGAAAAGUUUCUCUAAAUGUGUAGAGAAAAAAACAAUUCCUAGUUUGAAUCUUGAUUUGUGUAAUUCCUGGCUCUUAACCCUUUUGUAUUGUUUUAUUCUGUCGUCUCUGAAUUCUGAUGGGA